GGGAGCCCUGCGAUGGCUGAGAAACACAACUGAGAAUGAUAAAGGGAACAAGAACCCUAUUUCCUGACUCAUUAAAGCAAGAGAGUGCUUAAUAAACAUAAUACUACUUGAUGGUAAAGUUCUGACAAGGCCACCCACUUAAUAACCACUAUUGUGACUCUGAUUCCUAUUCCACUUAAGAAUCUACCUGAGCCCUGGUCUUCAGCUGUGGUUAGUAGAGGUCAUGUUGUUGGCUGCCUGAAGCAGGUUCUGUGCACAGGAGGGCAAAUACCAACUGGGUGCACCAAGAAACCACAGGUUAUGCAGUUUUGGCAGGAAUACCACAGAGGUGACAUUGUGUCCUUCCUUGGGGCACACGUCAGGAGAUGCGUGACAUCCAUCUGUCCCAUCUAUCCUCGUGAUGUCAACUCUGAUCACCUGUUCAGGGUCACAGGAGGACUGCUCCAGCUUCAGGCAUUCAAAGCAGAGAGAAGAGACCAGCUGUCUCUGAUUCUUAUAUCCAGAAAAGCAGUUCAUCACCCCCAAAUCCCCAGCUGACCUCUGCUUCCAGUUGAUUGGUACAUCAGUGCCACAUGGCCACCUUAGCCAUUAGAAGGCUAGGAAAAUCAGGUACCUGGUGUUGCAAC